UGGGCACUCUAAGGAGACUGCCGGUGACAACCGGAGGAAGGUGGGGAUGACGUCAAGUCAUCAUGGCCCUUACGGCCUGGGCUACACACGUGCUACAAUGGUCGGUACAAAGGGUUGCCAAGCCGCGAGGUGGAGCUAAUACCCAUAAAACCGAUCGUAGUCCGGAUCGCAGUCUGCAACUCGACUGCGUGAAGUCGGAAUCACUAGUAAUCGUGAAUCAGAAUGUCACGGUGAAUACGUUCCCGGGCCUU
rnacentral:rRNA from 1 species